AAAUACAUUUCAAACUAGAUGUUUUCAUUCUUUCAUUAAAUUUUAAAUUAUGAAUUUUAAAGGGAAGACUCAACAAGUGUUAUUAAUUGAUCUAGUAUAAUUGAUAAGUGACUCAAUGAAUUAAAAUUAACGGAAAUGGAUAUUACUAUAAUCCUAAUUCAUUCUAAAUUAUUGAUAUGGUAAUUCUAUGGAUUCAAAUAUUCUUAACUUAUUUUAUAUUAUUGAUAUGGUUAUUCUAUGGAUUCAAAAAUUGCAAGAUUACUAAAUUUAUAUUUUCUUUUAUUCACAAUUACAAAAUCGGAAAGGCUUGUCCAAAAUAUAAUUCAAUAAAAUUUCAAAAAUUUAACACACGAUUUAAAAAAGAUCUUGGCCAUUGCCUAAGACAAUAUUCAGUUGAAACUGCUUUAUCACAAAGAAUAUAUCAUGAUUUAAAUAUUUACCAAUUAAAUUAUAUAAACACUACAUAUAUUACAAUUAAACACAAGAAAUAUUUAUACAAAAAUGCAAUUUUUUUUUUCAGUUUUAUUUACAAUGUUUUUUUUAUACCCAAUUUAUCCUCAACUAGGCCAAACCAUAUUCAUUAAUUUAUUUAUUAACAUAUCCUAAAAAAAAUUCCAAUUUAAAUUAUUGAUUAAAAUGUAGUUGGUUAUAUUUAUAUGUCAAAAAUUAGAUUAAAAUGUAGUUAAUUAUAUUUAAUAAAUGUCAAAGACCUGCAGGCCCAGCCAGAAAAUAAUUUAAUAUUAAUAUUUAGUUUAA